rnacentral:rRNA from 1 species
AGAGUUUGAUCCUGGCUCAGGACGAACGCUGGCGGCGUGCUUAACACAUGCAAGUGGAGCGACGAACCGGGGCUUGCCCCGGGGCAGAGCCGCGAACGGGUGAGUAACACGUGGGUAACCCACCCCGAUGACCGGGACAACUCGAGGAAACUCGGGCUAAUACCGGAUGAUCUGGAGCCUCAUGAGGGGCUCUAGCAAAG